UCUUCCUUGCUAAAUUAUCUUCCUUCCUUCUCUUGCUAUUUUCUUUUUUAGUCAUCCAUCUGCAGCGCAAUGCAACAUCUCGUACUGUCUUAUUUUGCAGCUGCAAAGCUAUUUUCGCAUAACGUAUUAUGCUUGAUUCUGCUGCAUAUUUAGCUAAACCAUCCUCCAGAAUUGCUUGCUCUUCCAGGCUCCAAUCUGUGGAGA
rnacentral:misc_RNA from 1 species